rnacentral:lncRNA from 1 species
AUGAUCAAAUACACCUUUACCCAUUACUAUAACUCUUUAUGUUUUAAUAAUUCAUAAAAUGAUGGACAAUUUCCCAUGCUUAUUUUAUUUCAGAUUCUUUUCACUUUUUAGUAAAAUAGAUCAAUCCUAAACUUGCUUUAUAUUCCAUUUGUGAUUUGACCACUUUAAUAUUGACAACUAAUUAAAACAAUAAUAAUGCAUCUAAACGUAAAUUUGAUAUAUACUAGCGUCAGGGUAUAUAUAUUUUUAAACAAAUAUAUAAAAUAUAUCCUAAAAAAUUUUUAGGCCGUAGUGAAAAUUGAGCCUAAAUAUAUAUAUAUAGAGAGAUAGAUAUAAUAUAUAAAAAACUUAAAAUAUAUAAAAAAAAAACUUGAAAUAUAUAUAUAAAAGUCAUUGUUUUAAACAGGGCCCUAAAAUAUGUAUAUUUUUAAAAUACAUAUAUAUAAAAGCUUAAGUAUAUAAUAAAAAUUAAAAAAUAUAGAUAAAAGAUCCUUUUUUCUAAAUUGCGGGCCCACCAAAUAUUUGGGCCUGCGACGGUCACCCGACCCGCCCAGCCUAGCCCCAAAACCAGCCCUGACUAGCGUAUAGAGUGUGAUAACACCAAUAGUACGACCAAUGACCUCUAGCUCAAGUGUGAGGCACCGGUGGGCAGUGAUAGGAGACCCAAGGAAACCUGGGUUCGAUCCUUGAGCCAAACGAGUUUUACUGGUAAUUUAUCGCCGUGACUACGUGCGGGUGGGUUACCGGGUUUUCCCCGGAAUUGGUGGUGGACCACUAGGGUUACUCUCGGAAUACUUCGUUUAGUGCUCGGGAUUGAUUUGUUGGCCGUU